AUCACAGCCAUGGCACAAGCAAAAUGGCAGUGCAGCAUUGGGAAGGGCAAGCUGGAGGCUUAAAAUCAAUCAAUUUAUAAAAAAGAUUCCCAGCCUGACUGCAAGGCCUCAGAUGUUGUCAGUAAUGUGGUGUUUUUUUAUCUGGACCAUCCUUCUACCCAGGAAGGCUGGGCUCUCUCCCUGCUUGCUUCCCAGGAGUGAAAAGCACCAAACAAGGGCCUUGGAGAGACCUGCUGCCUGCACUGGAAAAUAAAGGCAAAUUCCAUGAAGAGAAGACAUGGUGAAGCCAAAGCCCAGCAGCCUGAUUUUCCAGAGCUGAUGGGAACAGGGGACAACUCCCAUGUACCUGGACAAAACGAGAGAGGCUGCAAUGGUGUGAAUGCCAGAGCUCUGCUAGUUGGAGAAAAAGGAGAGCUGCGUGUUCUCAGACCUGCUUGCACUCCCCUUCAUGUAGGAUGACACAGGACAUGUCCUCUUGACCACCCUGGAGCUAGGCAAGUGUGAUCCUGAGCCAACAGCUCAGACCCUGCCCUGGCCGGUGCUGGUGCCCUGAGACCUCAAGCUCAUGGGUCUGCGUGCCCUAGCCAGGUCAGAAACACUGACUGCCUCUUGCAGCCUAGGUUCAAGCCAAGUGAACACAGCACCUGUAGGAAGACAGCUUGGUUUUGACAGAAAUGAGGAUGCCAGCUGUAGCUGAACCUGCCACACUGCCUGCUCUUUGCAGGCACACAUUGAUGGCGGCUUGCAUGGGCUCAGGCAUGCAGCACAUACUCUCACACUACAGAUUAUUUUAACUUCUGAUGGGCUGCAGUUUCCUGUUGCAACACUCA